GACAGAGGGUGCAAACGUUGUUCGGAAUUACUGGGCAUAAAGCGUGUGUAGGCGGCUCUGCAAGUCAGGUGUGAAAUCCCACGGCUCAACCAUGGAAGUGCACUUGAAACUGCAGGGCUAGAGUCCUGGAGAGGAAGGUGGAAUGCUUGGUGUAGAGGUGAAAUUCGUAGAUAUCAAGCGGAACACCGGUGGCGAAGGCGGCCUUCUGGACAGUGACUGACGCUGAGACGCGAAAGCGUGGGGAGCAAACAGG
rnacentral:rRNA from 1 species